rnacentral:rRNA from 1 species
UGCAAGUCGAACGCUGAAGCUUGGUGCUUGCACUGGGUGGAUGAGUGGCGAACGGGUGAGUAAUACGUGAGUAACCUGCCCUUGACUCUGGGAUAAGCCUGGGAAACUGGGUCUAAUACUGGAUAUGACAUGUCACCGCAUGGUGGUGUGUGGAAAGGGUUUUACUGGUUUUGGAUGGGCUCACGGCCUAUCAGCUUGUUGGUGGGGUAAUGGCUCACCAAGGCGACGACGGGUAGCCGGCCUGAGAGGGUGACCGGCCACACUGGGACUGAGACACGGCCCAGACUCCUACGGGAGGCAGCAGUGGGGAAUAUUGCACAAUGGGCGGAAGCCUGAUGCAGCGACGCCGCGUGAGGGAUGACGGCCUUCGGGUUGUAAACCUCUUUCAGCACGGAAGAAGCGAAAGUGACGGUACGUGCAGA